rnacentral:rRNA from 1 species
AAAGUGGCGCACGGGUGAGUAACGCGUGGAUAAUCUGCCUUCGAGUCCGGGAUAACACCUCGAAAGGGGUGCUAAUACCGGAUGACAUCAUAGGGUCUUCGGGCCUUAUGAUCAAAGAUGGCCUCUACUUGUAAGCUGUUGCUUGAAGAUGAGUCCGCGUACCAUUAGCUUGUUGGUGGGGUAACGGCCCACCAAGGCCACGAUGGUUAGCUGGUCUGAGGGGAUGAUCAGCCACACUGGCACUGACACACGGGCCAGACUCCUACGGGAGGCAGCAGUGAGGAAUUUUGCGCAAUGGGGGAAACCCUGACGCAGCAACGCCGCGUGAGUGAAGAAGGCUUUCGGGUCGUAAAGCUCUGUCAAGUGGGAAGAAACCUUCCAGGGUAAAUAGUCCUGGGAAUUGACGGUACCACUGAAGGAAGCACCGGCUAACUCCGUGCCAGCAGCCGCGGUAAUACGGAGGGUGCAAGCGUUAUUCGGAAUUACUGGGCGUAAAGGGCGCGCAGGCGGUCUGGUAAGUCAGUUGUGAAAGCCCGGGGCUCAACCCCGGAAGUGCGACUGAAACUGUCAGACUUGAGUAUGGUAGGGGGAAGUGGAAUUCCUGGUGUAGCGGUGAAAUGCGUAGAUAUCAGGAGGAACACCCGUGGCGAAGGCGACUUCCUGGACCAAUACUGACGCUGAGGCGCGAAGGCGUGGGUAGCAAACAGGAUUAGAUACCCUGGUAGUCCACGCAGUAAACGUUG